rnacentral:tRNA from 2 species
GGGGUUGUAGCUCAGUUGGUUAGAGCACGCGCCUGAUAAGCGCGAGGUCGAUAGUUCGAGUCUAUUCAACCCCACCA